UGGGGAAUCUUGGACAAUGGGCGAAAGCCUGAUCCAGCGACGCCGCGUGGGUGAUGAAGGCCUUCGGGUUGUAAAGCCCUUUUCCCAGGGAAGAUGAUGACGGUACCUGGGGAAUAAGCACCGGCUAACUCCGUGCCAGCAGCCGCGGUAAGACGGAGGGUGCUAGCGUUGUUCGGAAUCACUGGGCGUAAAGGGCGCGUAGGCGGCCUGUUAAGUCGGAUGUGAAAGCCCGGGGCUCAACCCCGGAACUGCAUCCGAGACUGGCAGGCUUGAGACCGGGAGAGGAGGGUGGAAUAUCCAGUGUAGAGGUGAAAUUCGUAGAUAUUGGAUGGAACACCGGUGGCGAAAGCGGCUCUCUGGCCCGGAUCUGACGCUGAGGCGCGAAAGCGUGGGGAGCAAACAGG
rnacentral:rRNA from 1 species